AGAGUUUGAUCAUGGCUCAGAUUGAACGCUGGCGGCAGGCUUAACACAUGCAAGUCGAACGGUAACAGAACUAGCUUGCUAGUUGCUGACGAGUGGCGGACGGGUGAGUAACGCGUAGGAAUCUACCGAAUAGUGGGGGACAACAGUUGGAAACGGCUGCUAAUACCGCAUACGCCCUACGGGGGAAAGGAGGGGAUCUUCGGACCUUUCGCUAUUUGAUGAGCCUGCGUGAGAUUAGUUAGUUGGUGGGGUAAUGGCUCACCAAGGCGACGAUCUCUAGCUGGUCUGAGAGGAUGAUCAGCCACACUGGGACUGAGACACGGCCCAGACUCCUACGGGAGGCAGCAGUGGGGAAUAUUGCACAAUGGGGGAAACCCUGAUGCAGCCAUGCCGCGUGUGUGAAGAAGGCCUUCGGGUUGUAAAGCACUUUCAGUUGUGAGGAAAGGUUAAGGGUUAAUA
rnacentral:rRNA from 1 species